UCUGUAAACGCAUAAGAUAAAUAAUAACAUAAGUUUAGGUAGUAAGUAUUAGUUCUUUCAACUUUUAAGACCACAAUUUACCUGCUGUUCGACAUGAAGCUUCUUUCUAAAUUUCCUCGGUUUGGCAUGAUGUGCUUUUGCAUCCCUCUGAGGACUGGAACUAUUUUUCUUGCAAUUUUGCAAAUCACAGGAUGUACACUUAGCAUUGUUUCACUGGUUUUAGCAGAUGCAAAGGAUGUUGUGUAUGUUGAAAUGCAAGAAAUUCCAACAAAUGAAACAGAGAAAGUUCCACAGAUAAAAGCAACUGUUUAUUCUUCAAUAUUAUUUGAAGUCAUUGCUUUAUUGUUUGCUGUGAUUUUAUUAGUAGGUGCCUUUCAGAGAAACAUUAAACUAGUCAAAUCAUAUGUCGUUUUCAACCUCAUAGGAAUAUUAAUAUUGAUUCCAAUUAUCAUUUUAACAGCAGUUUUCAUACCUCUUUAUGGAUUAGUAUCAGCAAUUAUUUUGUUGAUUAGUAUUUAUUGCCUGCUGUGUAUCAACUCAUUUUUACAAAUUUUGAUCAUCAGACAAAACAGGUUGCCACAAAUGGAUCUCUUAUACAAGAAUGAAGCGGAAGGAAGACUUUCUUAGAUUAUGUAUUUUUAUAAGAAUAUAUGUAAUAUAUUAAAAUAUAUAUUUUCAU